UCCGUAGGGAGCGAGCGUUGUCCGGAAUCAUUGGGCGUAAAGAGCAUGUAGGUGGAUCAAUUAGUCUGCUGUGAAAGUCAAAGGCUCAACCUUUGAAAGCCGGUGGAUACUGUUGAUCUAGAGUACGGAAGAGGCGAGUGGAAUUCCUGGUGUAGCGGUGGAAUGCGCAGAUAUCAGGAGGAACACCAAUAGCGAAGGCAGCUCGCUGGGACGUUACUGACACUGAGAUGCGAAAGCGUGGGGAGCAAACAGG
rnacentral:rRNA from 1 species